rnacentral:rRNA from 1 species
UGGGGAAUAUUGCACAAUGGAGGGAACUCUGAUGCAGCGACGCCGCGUGAGUGAUGAAGGAAUUCGUUUCGUAAAACUCUGUUCUAUGGGAAGAAAAGGACUGUACCAUAGGAGAAAGCUCCGGCUAAAUACGUGCCAGCAGCCGCGGUAAUACGUAUGGAGCGAGCGUUGUCCGGAAUUAUUGGGCGUAAAGGGUGCGCAGGCGGCUUUACAAGUUGGAUGUGAAAUAUUGUGGCUCAACCACAAACGUGCAUCCAAAACUGCAAAGCUCGAGUUAAGGAGAGGUAAGUGGAAUUCCUGGUGUAGCGGUGGAAUGCGUAGAUAUCAGGAGGAAUACCGGUGGCGAAGGCGACUUACGGGACUUAAACUGACGCUCAGGCACGAAAGCGUGGGGGGCAAACAGG